UAUAUUGAAUAUUUUUCGAUAAAAAAAUCUAGUGUUAUGUGUAACAGUGUUUUUUUUGUAUCAUGUUCGUUCACAAUUACAGACGCAUGUGGUACAAUCGCUUAAGUGAAUAUCUUUUGAGUAAAAGAUAUGUGAAUAAUGUGGUAUGUCUACGCAUUUUUAUAAAAAAAUCGUCAUCUGGCUUUGUGAUCAUUGUUGUAUAUAUAGAUGACCUGAACAUAAUUGAAACUCAAAAGAAGGUUGAUGAUGCUCGAACUCAUAUGAAAAAGGAGUUCGAAAUGAAAGAUCUCGGUAAGACAAAGUUUUAUCGUGUGCUCCAAAUAGAGCAUCUCCGAAAAAGAAUAUUUGUGCAUCAAUCAAAUUAUACGAAGAGGUUAUUGAAAUGCUUUUAUAUGGAUAAAACGACUCAUUUGAGUACUCCAAUGGUAAAUAGAUCUUUCAAUGUUAAAAGAGAAGUUGUUUUAAAAGAUUAUGGUAAGAUCUUAUAUAAAUAAGUACUUUGAAGAUGCUAAUGGUAAUAAAGCAUAUGUGAACUUAUAUAUCUUGCAAGUUGUAUUUCAUUAAAUAUACUUUUAGACACUAAUGUUUUUGUAAGAUACAACUCAUUUCCUAUUCAUGAAAAUUAGAAUAGCGUCGAGAAUAUAUCCGUUCUCUCGAAGUACAGUUGAUUUAUGGUUGAUUUAUUAUAGAAAACCUGAGUUUGGUAUGGUUGGUUUUUGCAGAUGCGGGAUACUUAUCAGAUCCUCAUAAGGUUCGAUUGCAAACCGGCUAUGUUUUUACAAUUGGUGGAACUGCGAUCUCUUGGCGGUCCCAUAAACAAACUCUGGUUGCGACAUCUUCGAAUCAUGCAUAAACUAUUGCGCUUCACGAAGCAUGUCGAGAAUGUAUGUAACUUGGAUCAAUGAGUCACCACAUACAAUAAUCAAGUGGAAUAGUUAACGAGAAAGAGCCGACGAAAAUAUUUGAAGACAAUUCGACGUAUGUCGCUCAACUCAAACAAAAAUAUAUCAAGAGUGACAUUCCUCCAAGAUUUUUCUCGUAUAUACGGAAGCUCAAGAAAAAUAAAAAAGAGUGGACAUCUACAUUUGCGUGACCUAUGAAGAAGAACCUAUGUCUGCUAUUUUCAGGGGGAGAUUACGCCAGUGUACUAUUUUUCUUUGUCAUGGUUUUUGUUCUAAUAAAUUUUUCUCUGACUAGGUUUUUAACGAGGUACUACGUAAUACAAAAUAAACAAUUAAAGAAAGGUGUUAGAAAAUUAGAUGAUUAUUCAUCUUGGACACUUGCCCUUUUUAUAUAUGGGUGAUAAUAUUUAUCUUAUAGUUUUGUCUUUUUUUCUUAGUCGGUUCAUAUAAACCGACUUUCAUGCCAUAUAUAAAGCUUGUCAUAAGACAAUAAAUAGAUGAAUAAGAAGGAAUCUGAUUAUCUCUAGCUCUCUCUCUCGUUUGUUCCUCUUUCUCUAAUCACAAAUUACAAAACAUAUCUUUAUAUAUAAAGAAGAGAUUGUUUCUCUCCUGUAAGGACACGUCGGAUGACAGGGUGGAAAUAGGAGCUCUAUGGUGUAGACACGUCGGAUCCGCACCGUUUCAUUAAACCUUCGCAGUGGGCUUCGUUACACGCUUCUUCUGCGGCCCAUCAACCACAAGCAUAUACGGAACCCUAAUCAAUCGAUACGUUCUUCUUCGUGUUCUUUGUGCGUCAAGGAGCUGACACGUGUCAAGUGAUACGUCCCAUUUCAUUUUUUUUCUUUUUCGGUCCAAUGACGUCUUCUCUCUAUCUCUCACACCGUUGACUUCACACCUCCUCUGCAAACCCCAUAGAAACGCUUCCUUUCAACUUCACACCAUGCGAUAGAAAUGAAGUGGUGUGCUCGAAUCGAGAAUAGCAGUAGAGAAGAAUCAGAAAGCCAGUGGAGAUGCAGAGAAAUCCACCAUUUUCAUUAUUUCGGCAAAGAUUCACCGGAGAUAUAACCGUGGAAUCCUCAACGUCUCCAUUUGUGACUCUCUUAGGUUUUCUUUGAGAUAGAUGAAUCACCGGAUAACCAUGGAUUCUGGCCAGAAGCUUGAUGUGAUUCAUUCUCGGUGCAUAUGAAGUAUAAACGGCAACGAAGCAAAGAGAUAUGAGCAUCUGGGGAUUCAAGGGUGAGGUGGAUUUCAAUUAGUGAAGGGAACAUCCGGAGGAUGAGACAUGGGCCAUAGUCAUUCCGGAGAUAAACGUCUUGCCGUGGUGGAGCGUUAACGUAUAGAUCUGAAGGAGAGGCCAAGCGAAGCUUUUCUUUAGUCGAUAGAAUCAAAGUCUUUUGUCUUGGUAUAUGAGGGGAUUGUAAGAGUUGACUAGACUAAAUCAGUAGGCCAGAUAUGGGCUUUUGUCAUUACUUAAAAUUUUAUAAAAGACAAAAUCAUUAUUAUACAUAUCUCAUGCAAAUAAAAAUCUAGAUACAAACCAUAAAAACAUACAAAAAAAAUAAAAACAUAGAUAACAAUUAAAGUAUAUCCCGCUCGUAGGGCGGGCCUACCCUAGUAAUACAUAUAACACACGGAUAUACAAAUACAUAAGGAUAUGGACAAUUCUCAUAAAUAGAGUAUUUUUAAGUUUUGGUCAUAAAAAUAGAUCACAAAGAGAAAAAUAACCAAAAUAUUUUAUUUAAUAGAUAAAAAUAUACUAAUACUUUAGAUAUAUAAAAAAAAUAAAAAAAUUAAAAAACAAAAAUUAAAAAAAAAA